rnacentral:rRNA from 1 species
UACGUAGGGUGCGAGCGUUGUCCGGAAUUAUUGGGCGUAAAGAGCUCGUAGGCGGUCAGUCGCGUCUGCUGUGAAAACUCGGGGCUUAACUCCGGGCCUGCAGUGGGUACGGGCUGACUAGAGUGCGGUAGGGGAGACUGGAAUUCCUGGUGUAGCGGUGAAAUGCGCAGAUAUCAGGAGGAACACCGGUGGCGAAGGCGGGUCUCUGGGCCGAUACUGACACUGAGGAGCGAAAGCGUGGGGAGCGAACAGG